GAUGAACGCUGGCGGCGUGCCUAAUACAUGCAAGUCGAGCGGACAGACGAGGAGCUUGCUCCUCUGACGUUAGCGGCGGACGGGUGAGUAACCCGUGGAUAACCUACCUAUAAGACUGGGAUAACUUCGGGAAACCGGAGCUAAUACCGGAUAAUAUAUUGAACCGCAUGGUUCAAUAGUGAAAGACGGUUUUGCUGUCACUUAUAGAUGGAUCCGCGCCGCAUUAGCUAGUUGGUAAGGUAACGGCUUACCAAGGCAACGAUGCGUAGCCGACCUGAGAGGGUGAUCGGCCACACUGGAACUGAGACACGGUCCAGACUCCUACGGGAGGCAGCAGUAGGGAAUCUUCCGCAAUGGGCGAAAGCCUGACGGAGCAACGCCGCGUGAGUGAUGAAGGUCUUCGGAUCGUAAAACUCUGUUAUUAGGGAAGAACAAAUGUGUAAGUAACUAUGCACGUCUUGACGGUACCUAAUCAGAAAGCCACGGCUAACUACGUG
rnacentral:rRNA from 1 species